GAUGAACGCUGGCGGCGUGCCUAAUACAUGCAAGUAGAACGCUGAAGGAGGAGCUUGCUCUUCUGGAUGAGUUGCGAACGGGUGAGUAACGCGUAGGUAACCUGCCUGGUAGCGGGGGAUAACUAUUGGAAACGAUAGCUAAUACCGCAUGACAACAGUUAUUGCAUGAUAACUGUUUAAAAGGGGCAACUGCUCCACUACCAGAUGGACCUGCGUUGUAUUAGCUAGUUGGUGAGGUAACGGCCCACCAAGGCGACGAUACAUAGCCGACCUGAGAGGGGGAUCAGCCACCCUGGGACUGAGACACGGCCCAGACGCCUACGGGGGGCCGCAGUAGGGAAUUUUCGGCAAUGGAGGGAAGGCUGACCGAGCAACGCCGCGGGAGUGCAGAAGGUUGUCGGGUCGUAAAGCUCUGUUGUAAGAGAAGAACGAGUGUGAGAGUGGAAAGUUCACACUGUGACGGUAUCUUACCAGAAAGGGACGGCUAACUACGUG
rnacentral:rRNA from 1 species